CACACUAGCAGAGUAGCACACACAGCAUGCACUCUCACUGUAUGCAUUUGUCUUGUGUGUGUGUGUGUGUGUGUGUGUGAGAGAGAGGUGUUCCUGUGUGGAGAGAGACUCCUCAGAAACCUCUUACUCAGCAAAGUCGCUGCAUCCCCCCCCCCGCCGGCCCCAUCUCAUCCAAUCAACAUUUAUCCCCUGGUUCUCUCACUUCAAUCAAUUUUUCACUCUCUCUGUCUCAUCCACCAACUCCGUCUCCCUCCCCUCACUCCCCCGUGGAUCCACCGGGUACGCUCCACUUUCAAAGACAGAGAGUCAUGUGACCAGAACUGGAUCGAUACGAGUGCAUCUUUUGCCAUGCACUGUAUAAUGAGACUUACAUAACCUGCUUACACACAGCCGUCACAGUCUGUCAUUCUAGCUGUUCGUAGCACAAAUUCUGCCUCGAUUUGAAAAAAUCUCGACUUCAGUCAGGAGAACGGAGGAGCUUGAGACUUCCAGCAGCACAUGAUGGAUUGGCACGUACCAGGCAGUAAUUUGAUCACUUACUACAGUACAGGGGACCUUGUUUGCUGCCAUAAACACUUUGUAUCAGCUUGAAUGCUUUUACUGUUGUUGCCUUAGCGCUAUGCAUCAGGUCAUGUGUAUCCUUUGGCUCUAAAUUGUUGCUCUAAUGCACAACCAAAGAGCCUCUCUUUCAACACAUUAUCCAUUUUUUCUCUUUUACCCAGUAGGUUUAUCUCAACCUCACUUGCCGUAACUGACACAGAUAUAGGUCUAAUCUGUGGAACAAACAGUAUGCAGGAGUUUGAAUAUUAAGCAUGUUAAAUCCAUAUUAUGUAAUCUUUGUAUCUUAUAUCCUUGAAAUCUGCGGAAUAAAGCAUUUUCUCUCCCUGCUCACCAGAAAGGAAUUAUUACAUUUUAAAAGAAUGUCUGGAUAUUAUAACAAAGCCUGCUAUUCACAGAGUCUGCUAUGACUGUAUUGCUGUAAAUGGCUGGGUGCAGCUCUGAGUCCAAAUAUUCAAAAAUACUCCAGUGUUUUAUAGUAUUGAGUGUGGAUAUUUUGUUGAGUUUAAAAAGAUUGUUGAUUAAUUAUUUAGUCUAGCAAUGUUAAAAUAAUGACACUCAUUAUAAAUUACCAAAGCACAGAGUAAUGGUUUAUUAUUGUUUUGCAUAUCAGAACAGCAGCCAAGAUAAAUCCUAAAACUAUUUUAUAGCCAUGCCAGUGGUUCAGUCCACCACUUUGGUCCCGACUGAAAUAGCUCAGCUACUACUGGAUGAACUGCCACAAACUUAUAUACAGACUUUUAUGAUCCCCAGACCAUGAACCAUGCUAACCUUGGUGAUCCCCUGAUCCCCUGGUGAUUUUUUUAAAACUUUUUUUGUGAAAUGUCUCAGCUAGAAUCAGAUGGGUAGUAGAUAUUUUCUACAAACACUCAUUCAUUGCCCCCAGUGGAUGAACCACACUGACUGAUGAGUAGCACCACCAUGAGACAUUUUGAAAUUUCUGUUUAAGUUUUUUAGUGAAAUGUCUGAGCAAUGAUUGGAUGGCUUGCCAUGGUACUACUAUUCAUGAUUCCCAGGGGAAUUAAUCCUAAAGGUGGUCCCCUGACUCUUAUUGUGACCCCUCCCCCAGCAGUUUUCACCUAUCCUAUCAACAGCUACCAGAUUCAUUGUCAUACAAAAAAAGAAGACGAUGAAUUCCUGGAUGAUGAAUCAUAAUAACUUUGAUGAUCCCUUAAAAUGUCAUCAUCAGGUCAAAUUUAAAUUUGUCCAGCACUUUGGUUUAUGACCAAACACCUGCAAAGAGUGUUUAGUGCUAACAGGCCAAACUAAAAUGAACAACAAGGUAAAUAUUUCACGUGCUAAACAUCAGCAUCUUAGCAUUGUCACUGCGACCAUGUCAGCAUGCUGACGUUAACAUUUAGCUCAAAGCACCACUGUGCUCACAGAACAGCCUCAAACUUUGUGUGAGUAUGAGUGUCCAUUUUCUUUGUGUUGAGUAUGUGUGUGAAACAGAAAUACAAUAAACAUGUCUUUGCUUUGGCGUAUUAUAAA